GACCAGGGGGUUUGAAUCCACAAAUAGAAUAUGAUUCGAACAUAGAAAGAAUGGUAACAUGCCAAACAGGAGAUUCGCAGCAUCAUGUUCAAGAUUAAGCUUGAUGCCAAACUCUAUUUCUUGCUGUAAACACUAACCAGUCCCAGUCAAGAAAGCUGGGCUUACAUAGAGAUACCAACCUGCAUAUCUACGGUGGUUGCAUAUCAACAAAUGUCAACCUAGUAUCAAACAGUACUGGAUUGUACUGUUGUUUAUCAAAUAAUAUAUGUAAACAUAAUGAUAAAUAUAGAACAGCAUGAUUUUCUUUAAAAACCAACCUUUUAAUGUACAUGUUUUCUGUUAUUUGUUUUUCCUCGCGGAUGUGAUUUUGGUGCAAAAGAGUAAAACAAUAAGUUAGCAUUGGAAGAACAUUAGCAAAAAUUGCAGAAGAAGAAAACAUGGAGGCGACACAGACAGAGGUCAGAUAGCAAUCUGUAGUCACAUAUAAUAUAGCACAAGAAACCCUCUUUAUUGGAUAACAGUUUUUGAAAACAAAAGAAACAAAAAAUCAUUAAUGCAAAAUCAUUUCUGGGUUGCACCUUUCCAACCCUCUCUUCACACAGACAAGAGCAGUUUAUGACAUAAAAGAUUAAAAGAAAAAUUAGAAACUCAUCUCCAAGAACACAUGCACAAUUUUCAUGAUUUGAAUUGUGAAAGAAAAUUC
rnacentral:lncRNA from 1 species